GCACUGCGGAAGAGUCCCACAAUAGGACGAAACGGCCUUUCAGUGC
rnacentral:hammerhead_ribozyme from 1 species